GAUAUUGGUCAAUGGGGGGAACCCUGAACCAGCGACACCGCGUGAGGGAAGAAGGUUUUCGGAUUGUAAACCUCUGUUGUCGGGGAAGAUAAUGACGGUACCUGAUGAGAAAGCCACGGCUAACUACGUGCCAGCAGCCGCGGUAAUACGUAGGUGGCAAGCGUUGUCCGGAUUUAUUGGGCGUAAAGCGCGCGCAAGCGGUCUUUUAAGUCUGAUGUGAAAUCUUACAGCUUAACUGUAAGCGGUCAUUGGAAACUGGGAGACUUGAGUGCAGAAGAGGAGAGUGGAAUUCCAUGUGUAGCGGUGAAAUGCGUAGAGAUAUGGAGGAACACCAGUGGCGAAGGCGACUACCUGGACGAAAACUGACGCUGAUGCACGAAAGCUAGGGGAGCAAACA
rnacentral:rRNA from 1 species